UACGGAGGGUGCAAGCAUUAAUCGGAUUUAUUGGGCGUAAAGGGCGCGUAGGCGGGGAUAAUAGUCAGAUGUGAAAUCCCGGGGCUCAACCUCGGAACUGCAUUUGAAACUGUAUCUCUAGAGGGUAGGCGGAGAAAACGGAAUUCCACAAGUAGCGGUGAAAUGCGUAGAUAUGUGGAAGAACACCGGUGGCGAAGGCGGUUUUCUAGCUUACUCCUGACGCUGAGGCGCGAAAGCAAGGGGAUCAAACAGG
rnacentral:rRNA from 1 species